GAUGAACGCUGGCGGCGUGCCUAAUACAUGCAAGUCGAGCGAACGGACGAGAAGCUUGCUUCUCUGAUGUUAGCGGCGGACGGGUGAGUAACACGUGGAUAACCUACCUAUAAGACUGGGAUAACUACGGGAAAGCGGAGCUAACACCGGAUAAGAUUUUGAACCGCAUGGUUCAAAAGUGAAAGACGGUCUUGCUGUCACUAAUAGAUGGAUCCGCGCUGCAUUAGCUAGUUGGUAAGGUAACGGCUUACCAAGGCAACGAUGCAUAGCCGACCUGAGAGGGUGAUCGGCCACACUGGAACUGAGACACGGUCCAGACUCCUACGGGAGGCAGCAGUAGGGAAUCUUCCGCAAUGGGCGAAAGCCUGACGGAGCAACGCCGCGUGUGUGAUGAAGGUCUUCGGAUCGUAAAACUCUGUUAUUAGGGAAGAACAUAUGUGUAAGUAACUGUGCACAUCUUGACGGUACCUAAUCAGAAAGCCACGGCUAACUACGUG
rnacentral:rRNA from 1 species